ACAAGGGCUUAUAGAGGAUACCUAGGCAUUUAGAAGCGAAGAAGGACGUGGCUACCGGCGAAACGCUUCGGGGAGUUGGAAGCAAGCAUUGAUCCGGAGAUUUCCGAAUAAGGAAACUUCAUUAGAACUUCUCAAGGAAUAAAUAUUUGAGGGUAGAGCAAACCUGGAGAACUGAAACAUCUUAUUAACCAGAGGAAAAAAAAGUAAAAACGAUUCCCCUAGUAGCGGCGAGCGAACGGGGAGAGGCCUAAACUAAUUCAUCAAAUUAGAGACGCGGGGAAACUAAAAAAUCUUAUAUUUAAAAUUAGGUGAAUCUUUUGGAAUGAAGAACCG
rnacentral:rRNA from 1 species